UUCACACAAACAAGGCCAAUCAGUUGAGAGCCUAAAUAGAACAAAAAGGUGGAAGAAGUGUGAAUUCACUCUCUUUUCUUGAGCUGGGACAUUCACCUUCUCUUACAGAGCUCCUGGUUCUCUGGCUUUCGACUUUGGGACUUGCACCAGAGGGCAGUCCUCCCUUUCCCAUCCUUCCAACUCCAGCCAAAUUACAUCACCAGCUUUCCUGGUUCUCCAGCUUUCAGAGAGCAGAUUGUGAGACUUCUCAGCCUCCAUAGUUGCAGUGAGCCAAUCCCAUGAUAAAUCUAUUUCUAUCUCUACCUCCUAUUGGUUCUGUUUCUCUGGAGAACCUCAGUGAAUACAGUAAUAAACAGCCCAUUAAAAUAUGGCCAAAGACUUAAGCAGACGCAUUACUGAGAAGACAUAUGGAUACCAACUAAGCACAUGAAAAGAUGCUCAUCACCAUUAACCAUUAGAGAAACGAGUUAGUAAACUUUUCCAAUAAAGGAUUAGAUACAUAGUAAACAUUUCCAGCUUCAUGGGCUGAGAGGCAAAAUUGAUGAUAUGACGUGUAUACGUAGUUAUAUAGCAAGAGAGAAAACAAGUUUCCACAAAUUUUUAUUGAUGAAAUUAAAGAUAUAAUAAAAAUUGAGUAAGUUUUGUAAUACAGGUGGACUAAUGAAAACAAUGCAUUUUUAAGGGGGGCAGAAGGACCAUGUUUAGUUUAAUCAGGGCUGAAAGUUAGUGUUUCCUGUCAUCAAAAUCAGUUGCACAUGCUUAAAUGUGAUGAAUUUUAUAUAUUUCAUCUUUGCAAUGUCUUUUUACACGUAUAGGCACUAUGUAAAAUAUUUGGUACUGCCAAAUACUAAUAUGAAUCUGAUAUGGUUUGGAUCUGUAUCCCCACCAAAUCUCAUGUUGAAUUGUAACUCUCAAUGUUGGAGGUGGGGCCUGGUGGGAAGUGAUUGGAGCAUGGGGGUGGUCCUUCAUGAAGGAUUUAGCACCAUCCCCUUGGUGCUGUUCUUGUGAUAGUGAGUUCCCAUGAGAUCUGGUUGUCUGAAAGUGUAGCACCUCCCCUGCCUCCUCCCUGCGACCCUUCCUCCUGCUCCAGCCAUGUGAAGUGCCAGCUUCCUUUUCAUCUUCUGCCAUGAUUGUUGUUUCCUGAGGUCUCCCCAGAAGCCGAGCAGAUGCUGCCAUGCUUCCUGUACAGCCUGAAGAAUCAUGAGCCAAUUAGACCUCUUUUCUUUAUAAGUUACCCAGUCUGAGGUAUUUCUUUAUCGCAGUGGAAAAA
rnacentral:lncRNA from 1 species